UUGCACGCUGGCGGCAGGCCUCACCCCUGCAAGUCGCGCGGAUGAAGGGAGCUUGCUCCUGGAUUCAGCGGCGGACGGGUGAGUAAUGCCUAGGAAUCUGCCUGGUAGUGGGGGAUAACAUCCGGAAACGGGCGCUAAUACCGCAUACGUCCUGAGGGAGAAAGUGGGGGAUCUUCGGACCUCACGCUAUCAGAUGAGCCUAGGUCGGAUUAGCUAGUUGGUGGGGUAAAGGCCUACCAAGGCGACGAUCCGUAACUGGUCUGAGAGGAUGAUCAGUCACACUGGAACUGAGACACGGUCCAGACUCCUACGGGAGGCAGCAGUGGGGAAUAUUGGACAAUGGGCGAAAGCCUGAUCCAGCCAUGCCGCGUGUGUGAAGAAGGUCUUCGGAUUGUAAAGCACUUUAAGUUGGGAGGAAGGGCAGUAAGUUAAUACCUUGCUGUUUUGACGUUACCAACAGAAUAAGCACCGGCUAACUUCGUG
rnacentral:rRNA from 1 species